AGGAAAUCGCAGCCACAAACGGGCUGUGCUCCCUCAGCUGAACUGUAUCUGCGUUUUUAGCGGUGCGAGAAAAGACGCUGCAUGGCAAAGUGCUCCUCCCUCCACCCUGCCAGCCUCAUCUGUCAGCCAUUAGUUAAUCAGGGCUGGUCACACGGAGCACAGAGAGCUGGCACGGCUUGUGGGACCAGAGGACAGCUUCACCUCUUGAGAGCAAGAAGAGGGCAAGGACUCAGGGACCCCUGCUCCUCGGUCCACAGCUGGGCUGCUUCACUCACCAGCACCCACUCAGGGAGGCGUCAACCUGGAGAUGACCCCGCCCAGUGCAUGUCUGUGAACAGGCCGAAUUGAGACAAUAUCUCCCUACGACUCAGAUUUAAAAUCAAAGCCGUGACAAGAGCCGUGCUCGUGAGGACCACAGGGGACCGUCUGGCCUCCGCUUCGCCGGCUCACACUCCACUGGCACAUGUGCAGGAUCAGGAAACACGAGGCCGAUGAUGUCACGGCCAACUGACCCCAGGGUGACAGGUUUGCAGAGUGUUCUUGCCCACUGCCCCGAGGCCAAGGUCAAGUAUGUCAAUGUUGUGCAUGUGGGUUUCAUUUGAAGCGGCGUGGUUAGGUCACAGAUGCUCAACUGCGAUCCCCCCGCAUGGGAAAGCCCCUCUCGACAGGAAACGGUUUGUUUUGGUUCGCAACAAACAGGCAUAAAUCACUCAAAUGAUGCCUCGGUCGCCCAUGUAUUAUUGUUGCGACUGGCACACACCACGUUGAGAUUUAUUUUAAGGUGUGUUAUUAGUUCAUGAUAUUUGCAUUUACUUGUUGUGUCGUAUAUGUUGCACUGUGUCUGAAACCAUAAAUAUCUGCAAUAAAUUGUUUUGUGUCUUUUCUUCUUUAUACAUGACACAUGUGUUUUGAUUAUGAGUGUUUGGGAAAUUAAUAUAGCUUUGGCAAUCAUUCAUUCAUUUUGAAGGUGUCUCAAAGAAAUGUUUAAAGGUCCAGGGAUUAAAAUAGCAGCAGAAUAUUUUUGAGGGAUAAACUAAACUAUUGAUUUAAUACCAUUUUAAAUGGUUCUUAUUGAUUUCAUUGAAACAUUUUUUUUUAAUGUCCUUCUAAUAUUGAACGGCAAAAAAAAAUAUGACUAUUGAUAAUCAAAUGUUGUCAGGCAGCAAUACACAUUUAGAAAUAUUGUAAAAUGGUAGUACAUCAUCAAUGUUAAAGUUAUUUCCUUGUUAAACAGUAUUUUGGUUUAUUUCCAGGAAUGUAGCCAACCUCUGAAACAUGAGCUGAAGCACAAAGGCGUGGCUGCUUUACAAGUAAUGCUAUUUGUAGGGUAAAUAAAUAAUAAUAUGAGAUAUUUAGGGAGAAUGUAGACAAUUUGUGAAAUGUAUUUGAGAAUUUGAUAUAUAUUUAGAUUUAAAGGAUUUAAUUAAUUAGCUACUACUGCAAACGGGUGUGAUUUAUAUUACUGCUGUAAAAGUGUGUUUUUUUGGCUUAGAAACAUAUUUUGAGGGUCCUAACCGAAGAGGCCAUUACAUAAGGUAAGAUGCAAUUUGAAGCCAUGAGAAAUAUUUUGACAAAGUUAUUUAAUGCAAGAAUCUUGGAUCAUCAGCUCCUAAACAUUGGCAUUACAAUACAUUGUUUAAAUGGCACAGAGGCCUCCUGCAAAAUGUGAUAGAGGACAUAUUUGUGAAAGUACUUAUAUAAUCAUUGCUAUCCUCUGAUUUAACCAUUUUAUGUUAAUCAAUGUAGUGUUUCACUGUUGCUUCAUACGGUUAUACGUAGCUAUAUUAUGAUGUGGUCUACUUCGAGUUGCUCGAAGAGCGUGUUAAAGUCACUGGAAUCGCUUCAUUAUUCGAAUAUUCCGCCUAAUAUUACUUCUCACAUGUGCUUUAAUUCAAAGAUUGACCUCAGGAGAAUAUCAAAUGAUUAAAUCAGCAGUGUUCUGUAAAUACUGGCUUUCCAGGGCUUGCAUUUGGAUCUCCUCAACUAAACAAACCUUGCCAGCACGCAUUAAUACCAAUUAUUGUUGUAGUAAAAGUAAUACUCUGCAGGUCUCCUGCCAAAUGCAUUACAGAGUGCUCCAAUAAUGCAAGCGUAAACAGAUGUGCCACCCAGCGGCAAAGUUGGAUUAGGACUGCGCACCGUCUGUUUUCUCCAGGGACGUUAGAACAUGAAAUGUUAAAUUGCGUAAAAGGAAAAGGCCUGCAGCGCUUUUACAUGACAUUAUGCAGAGGUAUGUGAAGUAUUACAGAUCUUUUAAAUAUGCCCCCAAAGACUAAAUUAUUAUAGAAGGGUUAUAAAAAAAGGGGGGGGGGGGCUAAAUAGAAUGAAGUCAAUUGAGGGUCAAAUACCAAAAUACCACAUAAUGACCGACAAGUCAAGUCUUUUCUAUGAGUUUGUAGUAAUUCACCAGCACGCUAUAAUAGUGCAAAGACCUGUAUAUAUUGCAUGCCCAUGGUUUACCACAGCAUAUUAGUGGACUAUGAAACUACUGUAUACUGCUGUAUCAACAACUGAAAGCAAUAAACUAUAUUUCCAAGUGUUA